AACGCACAUUGCGCCCCCUGGUAUUCCGGGGGGCACGCCUGUUCGAGCGCCAUUUCUACCUCAAGCCUCUGCUUGGUGAUGGGCAUCGCCGCCGCGCGGCGGGCCCCAAACGCGUGUGGGCGCCGUGGUACCGGUUCCGAGCGUAGCAAGAGUAGUCCUCCCUCGCUCGGUGCCCGCCCAGGGUUGCCGUAAAAACACCCCAUUUUCAUUACAGGUUGGCCUCGGAUCAGGCGGGGAUACCCGCUGAACUUAA
rnacentral:misc_RNA from 1 species